rnacentral:rRNA from 1 species
UGGGGAAUAUUGGACAAUGGGCGAAAGCCUGAUCCAGCCAUGCCGCGUGUGUGAAGAAGGUCUUCGGAUUGUAAAGCACUUUAAGUUGGGAGGAAGGGCAGUAAGCGAAUACCUUGCUGUUUUGACGUUACCGACAGAAUAAGCACCGGCUAACUCUGUGCCAGCAGCCGCGGUAAUACAGAGGGUGCAAGCGUUAAUCGGAAUUACUGGGCGUAAAGCGCGCGUAGGUGGUUCGUUAAGUUGAAUGUGAAAGCCCCGGGCUCAACCUGGGAACUGCAUCCAAAACUGGCGAGCUAGAGUAGGGCAGAGGGUGGUGGAAUUUCCUGUGUAGCGGUGAAAUGCGUAGAGAUCUGGAGGAAUACCGAUGGCGAAGGCAGCCAUCUGGCCUAACACUGACGCUGAGGUGCGAAAGCAUGGGGAGCAAACAGG